UACGUAGGGUGCAAGCGUUGUCCGGAAUUAUUGGGCGUAAAGAGCUCGUAGGCGGUCAGUCGCGUCUGCUGUGAAAACUCGGGGCUUAACUCCGGGCCUGCAGUGGGUACGGGCUGACUAGAGUGCGGUAGGGGAGACUGGAAUCCUGGUGUAGCGGUGAAAUGCGCAGAUAUCAGGAGGAACACCGGUGGCGAAGGCGGGUCUCUGGGCCGUAACUGACGCUGAGGAGCGAAAGCGUGGGGAGCAAACAGG
rnacentral:rRNA from 1 species